GACGAACGCUGGCGGCGUGCCUAAUACAUGCAAGUAGAACGCUGAAGAGAGGAGCUUGCUCUUCUUGGAUGAGUUGCGAACGGGUGAGUAACGCGUAGGUAACCUGCCUUGUAGCGGGGGAUAACUAUUGGAAACGAUAGCUAAUACCGCAUAACAAUGGAUGACACAUGUCAUUUAUUUGAAAGGGGCAAUUGCUCCACUACAAGAUGGACCUGCGUUGUAUUAGCUAGUAGGUGAGGUAACGGCUCACCUAGGCGACGAUAUAUAGCCGACCUGAGAGGGUGAUCGGCCACACUGGGACUGAGACACGGCCCAGACUCCUACGGGAGGCAGCAGUAGGGAAUCUUCGGCAAUGGGGGCAACCCUGACCGAGCAACGCCGCGUGAGUGAAGAAGGUUUUCGGAUCGUAAAGCUCUGUUGUAAGUCAAGAACGAGUGUGAGAGUGGAAAGUUCACACUGUGACGGUAGCUUACCAGAAAGGGACGGCUAACUACGUG
rnacentral:rRNA from 1 species